GCAGUAGCCGCGGGAAUACGGAGGGUGCAAGCGUUAAUCGGAAUUACUGGGCGUAAAGCGCACGCAGGCGGUCUGACAAGUCAGAUGUGAAAUCCCCGGGCUUAACCUGGGAACUGCAUUUGAAACUGUCAGGCUGGAGUCUUGUAGAGGGGGGUGGAAUUCCAGGUGUAGCGGUGAAAUGCGUAGAGAUCUGGAGGAAUACCGGUGGCGAAGGCGGCCCCCUGGACAAAGACUGACGCUCAGGUGCGAAAGCGUGGGGAGCAAACAGGAUUAGAGACCCCAGUAGUCCCUGUCUCUUAUAC
rnacentral:rRNA from 1 species